rnacentral:rRNA from 1 species
AGUGAACGCUGGCGGUAGGCCUAACACAUGCAAGUCGAACGGCAGCACAGUAAGAGCUUGCUCUUACGGGUGGCGAGUGGCGGACGGGUGAGGAAUACAUCGGAAUCUACUUUUUCGUGGGGGAUAACGUAGGGAAACUUACGCUAAUACCGCAUACGACCUACGGGUGAAAGCAGGGGAUCUUCUGACUUUGCGCCAUUGAAUGAGCCGAUGUCGGAUUAGCUAGUUGGCUGGGUAAAGGCCCACCAAGGCGACGAUCCGUAGCUCGUCUGAGAGGAUGAUCAGCCACACUGGAACUGAGACACGGUCCAGACUCCUACGGGAGGCAGCAGUGGGGAAUAUUGGACAAUGGGCGCAAGCCUGAUCCAGCCAUACCGCGUGGGUGAAGAAGGCCUUCGGGUUGUAAAGCCCUUUUGUUGGGAAAGAAAAGCAGCAGGUUAAUACCCCGCUGUUCUGACGGUACCCAAAGAAUAAGCACCGGCUAACUUCGUG